UGGGGAAUAUUGCACAAUGGGGGAAACCCUGAUGCAGCGACGCCGCGUGAACGAAGAAGGUAUUCGUAUCGUAAAGUUCUGUCCUAUGGGAAGAUAAUGACAGUACCAUAGAAGAAAGCUCCGGCUAAAUACGUGCCAGCAGCCGCGGUAAUACGUAUGGAGCGAGCGUUGUCCGGAAUUAUUGGGCGUAAAGGGUACGCAGGCGGUUUAAUAAGUCGAAUGUUAAAGAUCGGGGCUCAACCCCGCAAAGCAUUGGAAACUGAUAAACUUGAGUAGUGGAGAGGAAAGUGGAUUUCCUAGUGUAGUGGUGAAAUACGUAGAUAUUAGGAGGAAUACCAGUAGCGAAGGCGACUUUCUGGACACAAACUGACGCUGAGGUACGAAAGCGUGGGGAGCAAACAGG
rnacentral:rRNA from 1 species